CUCAAUAAACUAGAAGAAACCCACUGACUACUCCCCCUAAAAAAUGACAUCAUCACCAUCCAUAUCCUGGUUAGAUGACCCUGCAUGGAAACGGUCACCUGGCAACCGUAGCCCUGCUGCUGUGUUCUACUCCCUGAAAUGGAGGACAAAAAAAAUCCUUAAAGCUACAGAGAGGUUUAGGGAGCAGGGAAAAUGGUGACUCACAGUGUCAAAUAGAAAACUAGUGCCAUUGACUUUUUGCUGUAUGGUCACUUUAUUGGCUAGCGUUAAUUAAUUUAGUGUCGAUAAGAUGAUAUUAUACAUGAGAUAGAGAUAUUUCUAGAUAUCUACAACCAUGUUUCAACGUUCAGUGUUUGAAAGCAUGUUAAUUGUAGCCUUGGAGGAAUCCAGUAGGUGAUAUUAUUGAAUUUAAGAAUGAUUGUCCAUUCCAAUAUGACUGAAUUCCAACUGAUGGUACUUAACUAUGGGAUGUUGAAAAAGGGGGUUAGUCUUAAAAACAUUCCAUUAACUUUGUAGAAUGCUAUAUCCUUGUUCUAAUCAUUAUAGAUAUUUAUUUUUGGUAAUGUUCAUAUUCAGCCUGAUAAUGAGUCAUUUGUCAGAUGAUAUUAUUGUGCAUGUUUGUUUAAAGAUGCAGUCUGGGACUUUAACAAAUGACCAACAGUUGUUUUAAACCUCCCAUUUCGGGCUGGCUGUGUAAUGUGCAUCAUUAAUAAGUAGAAUCACUAGGCCUAUCAUACCUCAGAUAGCUAUGAAAUUCCCAGUUUGAAAGUGAGUGGGUUUGAUGGUAUGUGGUACAUAUCAAAUAAAUAACAGCACACAAUUUUCGGGGACCCGUUUUGGCUCGACGGCGUCACUUACACAACCAGUGGACAAAUAAUCUCUGAAUGCAUCUUUAAUGUCUUCAAAUAUUCUUGUUUACAGUAAAUAGGUAAUAAUACUGUAUUUAUUUUUGUAUAACGAAUUCGCUGUACUGUCACAAAAUUUAAAUAUAUGUACUGGUUAAAAAACUGUAGGCUGAUCAAUCAUGUUUUCACAUAGAAUUUUAUUACUGUGAUCCACGUUUGCGAUAAAAUAUAGUAGGACAGAUAUGUAUUUUUGUACAAGAUUUUUAAACGGCAUAAAUUGGCAAAGCCACAACAAUAAUCGGAAUCACACUUUAUAUCCACAGCCAUGUACGUCACAAGAAAAACGAACACAAAAGAACGUGAGGGAGGGAUUGCUGUAAAUUGCACAUCCAGUAUACAGGUGUUUUGCAUCACAAUAACUCGUGUGUUCAAAGCCACCGGCAAAGCUGCAGGAAAGGAGAACCAUGUAAUUAGAAUCGUCAAAUUUCGAAAGCAAGGUAGCGGAAGCCAGGGUUAUGUUUUAUACAUUAACCAUGGAUACGUUAACGACCCCGUAGCCAUGGCAGCGCAAUAAUGGGAUGUCAGCUGCAGGACAAAGUAUCAAUACUAAUAAUUUAGUCUUUCUAUCGACAACUGGAGAGUACAGAGAGCCCUCUUGCAGGCAGAUGACUGUAAAUAAAUAGCAUCUUAAUUUGAAGUACUAAAUGCAGCAGGAACAGUAAAUGUGAAUUACUCUGAGGAUCUUACUGAAGGAACAUAUGUUUCUCUGUAAGGGAAAUUCAAGUCUGACAUUUUAAAAUGGAAAUUACCAACUUCCAAAGCCGUUUUAAGCAUCAAAUACACUAUGAAUUAUCCUUAAACAUGGUGAUCAAGUUAAAACCCUACAUCUGUAUCAUGGUGUUCACGACUGACCAGUUGUUUAAGUAGAUAACGGUUAUUUGGUCCUGCAUGACCAUUGUGCUUACCUGUUUGUGACAUAACCAGAGAUGUUCAACGUGUAGUCAUAUACAUGCUACGUGUUUACUACUGUUAACUUAAAAUCUAGAAGUUACUGUAACUCAGCAUACAAUCUAGCGAUGAAUAGUAGCUACUUCUCGCUCUGUUUACCAAAUAAAGACUAUACCUACUGAUAAGAGUGGUGUGAUCAUUUCUGUUCUCUAAAUCUCUAUUAGGCUUUGCACUUCAUAUCUUUGCUAAACGUACCACUGUUUUAUGAGGAUAUUAUGGAAAAGACAAUGGCUGAACCUCAUCGUCACCUAUAUUGACACGACAGGCUAGUUAUUGUAUCAAUGUCAUUCACGAAUGAAAGAAAAACGAACGUUGUGCCAGGAAAUGAAAUAGUUUUGUCAGUGUAAAUCUCGUCUUUAGUCUCGCUAGCAUUCGCUCAAUUCUUAUGACUAAUCCUAGUAAGAUACUAGUAGGCCUACUGGCUAAUAAGCUAUUGAAAUGGCCAGUGGCAAAAGCCAUACAGGUCACAGAUGUUAUUUGAGGUGGAAGUAAACUUAAUAAGAAACGUUAGUCCGUUUAGCACACUGCUUAAUGGUCUCUAGCUAAAUAUUCAAAUUGUGUGUGAUGUUAUUUAAAUCCUCUAAAUGUGGAGACGCAAUUUUAUGACGAGGUAGAGUAUCCCAAACGGUCCCAAUACUGGCCUACUAGCUUACUAUCUACUAAACAAUACGUACUUUACCAUCAUCCGCGAAGUACGUACUUGUAGUACGUAGUAUGCGAUUUGAGAUUCAUCCAACAUCUGCAACCCAGCUAUUACAUUUUCUGUGGUCACGUGAGAUUGGUGGAUGAAAUGCAGUUGAACUACAUACACCAAAAUCCAAUGCGCUCUUCGGACAAGGUAGUGUAGGAUGUGUUGGACCAGCAUCUCGGGGUCAUAGGUUAGGGUCUGCAGGUCGUAGGUCACGGCCCUCCUCCUGCGGCUGGACCUCCCAGCAGGCUGCAGGUCGGUGUCGAUCCUUUUCAUUCUCUGAAGCCCCACCGCAUGGCCCGAGGUUUUGUGGCCAUCCCUCUCUCCCUCUGGCCUUCCGGGGCCUUCCUCCACGUCCCCCAGCCUCUUCACCCUCAGCAGCCCGAGCGGAGGCUCCUGGCUUGGGGAGGGAGGAGCAGGGGAGUCCAGGGAGCGACGGGACCUAUGGAGGACUGGGCCUGAGGCUGCUCUUACCCCUGCACCUGACACCGAGGCCAGGUCUCUCCUCGCCCCUCCGCCAGGUCUCUCCCCAGAAGCCAGGUCUCUCCUCGCCCUGCGGCCGGAUGAGCGCUGGGGGUUGUUGGGACUGAUGCUGGACAGAAUCUUAGCUACCAGGUAUCUGGAGUAGGAGACAAACAUGGAAGCCAACAUUUUGUAAAUGCAUCUAUGCCAUCUAACUAAAAACAUUAGCUGUUGAUUUUCCCCUGCGGGGCUCCUUACCGGAGUGUCUCCUGGUCUGGGUCUUGUCCUCCUGUCUCCAGCCUGUUGAUGGAGGCGGGAAGACUUGGUGACGCGGCCUGCUGUCUCUCCUGCCUGUAUCUGUUGAGCAGGGCCUGUGUGAGCUGGGGGUCCAGCAGGCCUUGCCACUGAGCUGCAGCCUGGGGUUUUCCCAUCCUCAUCCCCGGCUCUGUCUCAUCAUAGUCUUGGGGAUAGGGCCCCUGGAAGUCCCCUGGCACCUGGUCCUCCUCACUGUCUUCCUCUACGCCGGCACCUUCGGCCUCAUUGAGGAGACGAAGCAACCCGGCCAGGUACGCCGUUUCCUGCUCCCGCCUCUGGUCAUUCUCCAACAGCUGCUGAAGGGCCUGACCUAAGCCCUGCCCCCUCCACUCCUCUGGCUGAUAGAGCAGCUCAUUGCCCCCACGCCUGGUCAGGACGUCUGCGGACUCUCCAGGAUAUGACAUCAUCCCAGCCUCAUAUGGCAGCGAAUCCCGGAGGUCUCUGCGGGCUCGCCUGAUCCCACCUCCUGUGGUGUCCGAACCUCGUCCCCCCACCCCCCGGGCUAUGGAUAACGACUGACACACCCACACACACACACACACACACACACAACACAGAGAGAGAGAGAGAGAUGCUAAAAAAGGUCUUUCAAAAAAGACGAAUUAGGGUCUGCCUCAAACAUUAACAUCUAGAAUAAAACCGUUCAACUAAGUGUCAUUGUGAGGUUUACUUAAAAUAACAUUAUAAACCUGUGUCUUUAUCAUGGUGUGUACACAGACAAUCAGUCGAACCAACAUCCAGGACAAUAACAUUACAAUCUGCAUCUUUCUGUGUCUGUUUCUAUUUGUGUGUGUGUGUGUGUGUGUGUGUGUGUUUGCCUGUUCCUAAUGUGUGUGUGUAUAAAUUUAGCCUGCAGCGUUCUGUCUCAGCACAUAAUGUUAUAUCUGGUCAUCUAUGUGUACUCUGUACAUUUGUCCUAAGGUUCUGAAGAAUUAUCCAACCUAGGACCUAAUGUUGUGUCUGAUUUCAUCUGGUUUGUUUGAUGCAUCCUAUGUUAUUGUAAAUGUUUAAUUGUGCACAAAUUUCAUCUGAAACAUUAGCUGUUUGUAUUCCCCUGGUAGCUACUCCACCACCACGCAUCUGAACCUCUUCCUCUAUGGGGCCUUUAUCCCUUAUUGGUUCUUGCACUCAGCCUCUUGCUUGGUCUAAUCUUGCACACAGCAACUCAGGACUGACCUCUUUCUCUGCAUGACUAAGGACUUAUCGCUCACCGAACAACUGUGUAGGUUUUACAGGUUCACACUCAGGGGAAUAGUUUGUAUUGGCUGUGACCAA
ensembl:lncRNA